rnacentral:rRNA from 1 species
UACGUAGGGUGCGAGCGUUAAUCGGAAUUACUGGGCGUAAAGGGUGCGCAGGCGGUUCUGUAAGACCGGUGUGAAAUCCCUGGGCUCAACCUAGGAAUUGCGCUUGUGACUGGCGGGCUCGAGUACGGUAGAGGGGGGUGGAAUUCCUGGUGUAGCAGUGAAAUGCGUAGAGAUCAGGAGGAACACCGAUGGCGAAGGCAGCCCCCUGGGCCUGUACUGACGCUCAUGCACGAAAGCGUGGGGAGCAAACAGG